rnacentral:rRNA from 1 species
UACGAAGGGGGCUAGCGUUGUUCGGAAUUACUGGGCGUAAAGCGCGUGUAGGCGGUUGUUCAAGUCAGGUGUGAAAGCCUUGAGCUCAACUCAAGAAAUGUACUUGAUACUGGAUGACUAGAGGACCGGAGAGGAUAGUGGAAUUCCCAGUGUAGUGGUGAAAUACGUAGAGAUUGGGAAGAACACCAGUGGCGAAGGCGGCUAUCUGGACGGUUUCUGACGCUAAGACGCGAAAGCGUGGGGAGCAAACAGG